AGAGUUUGAUCCUGGCUCAGAGCGAACGCUGGCGGCAGGCCUAACACAUGCAAGUCGAACGGACCCUUCGGGGUUAGUGGCGGACGGGUGAGUAACACGUGGGAACGUGCCUUUAGGUUCGGAAUAGCUCCUGGAAACGGGUGGUAAUGCCGAAUGUGCCCUUCGGGGGAAAGAUUUAUCGCCUUUAGAGCGGCCCGCGUCUGAUUAGCUAGUUGGUGGGGUAAUGGCCCACCAAGGCUACGAUCAGUAGCUGGUCUGAGAGGAUGACCAGCCACAUUGGGACUGAGACACGGCCCAAACUCCUACGGGAGGCAGCAGUGGGGAAUCUUGCGCAAUGGGCGAAAGCCUGACGCAGCCAUGCCGCGUGUAUGAUGAAGGUCUUAGGAUUGUAAAAUACUUUCACCGGUGAAGAUAAUGACUGUAGCCGGAGAAGAAGCCCCGGCUAACUUCGUGCCAGCAGCCGCGGUAAUACGAAGGGGGCUAGCGUUGCUCGGAAUUACUGGGCGUAAAGGGAGCGUAGGCGGACAUUUAAGUCAGAGGUGAAAUCCCGGAGCUUAACUUCGGAACUGCCUUUGAUACUGGGUGUCUUGAGUGUGAGAGAGGUAUGUGGAACUCCGAGUGUAGAGGUGAAAUUCGUAGAUAUUCGGAAGAACACCAGUGGCGAAGGCGACAUACUGGCUCAUUACUGACGCUGAGGCUCGAAAGCGUGGGGAGCAAACAGGAUUAGAU
rnacentral:rRNA from 1 species